rnacentral:rRNA from 1 species
AGAGUUUGAUCCUGGCUCAGGAUGAACGCUAGCGGCACGCUUCAUACAUGCAAGUCGAGGGGCAGCAUAAAGUACUUGUACUUUGAUGGCGACCGGCGAACGGGUGCGUAACGCGUAUGCAACUUACCUUUUACUAGAGAAUAGCCAAGAGAAAUUUUGAUUAAUGCUCUAUACUCUUAUUAACUCACAUGAGUUUUUAAGAAAAGCUCCGGCGGUAAAAGAUGGGCAUGCGUCCUAUUAGCUUGUAGGUGAGGUAACGGCUCACCUAAGCUCCGAUAGGUAGGGGUCCUGAGAGGGAGAUCCCCCACACUGGUACUGAGACACGGACCAGACUUCUACGGAAGGCAGCAGUAAGGAAUAUUGGACAAUGGAGGCAACUCUGAUCCAGCGAUGCCGCGUGAAGGAAGACGGCCUUAUGGGUUGUAAACUUCUUUUAUACAGGAAGAAACCUUUCCACGUGUGGAAAGCUGACGGUACUGUAAGAAUAAGGAUCGGCUAACUCCGUGCCAGCAGCCGCGGUAAUACGGAGGAUCCAAGCGUUAUCCGGAAUUAUUGGGUUUAAAGGGUCCGCAGGCUGUUUGUUAAGUCAGAGGUGAAAUCCUACCGCUCAAACGGUAGAACUGCCUUUGAUACUGGCAAACUUGAGUUAUUGUGAAGUAGUUAGAAUGUGUAGUGUAGCGGUGAAAUGCAUAGAUAUUACACAGAAUACCGAUUGCGAAAGCAGAUUACUAACAAUAUACUGACGCUGAGGGACGAAAGCGUGGGUAGCGAACAGGAUUAGAUACCCUGGUAGUCCACGCCGUAAACGAUGGUCACUAGCUGUUCGAUGUACAUUGGUACAUUGAGUGGCUAAGCGAAAGUGAUAAGUGACCCCACCCUGGGGAGUACGCUCGCAAGAGUGAAACUCAAAGGAAUUGACGGGGGCCCGCACAAGCGGUGGAGCAUGUGGUUUAAUUCGAUGAUACGCGAGGAACCUUACCAGGACUUAAAUGUAAGUUGCAUGAUUCAGAAAUGGAUCUUUCUUCGGACUACUUACAAGGUGCUGCAUGGUUGUCGUCAGCUCGUGCCGUGAGGUGUCAGGUUAAGUCCUAUAACGAGCGCAACCCCUAUUGUUAGUUGCCAUCAAGUAAAGUUGGGAACUCUAGCGAAACUGCCGGUGCAAACCGUGAGGAAGGUGGGGAUGACGUCAAAUCAUCACGGCCCUUACGUUCUGGGCUACACACGUGCUACAAUGGCCGGUACAGAAAGCAGCCACUAUGCGAAUAGGAGCUAAUCUUCAAAGCCGGUCUCAGUUCGGAUCGCAGUCUGCAACUCGACUGCGUGAAGCUGGAAUCGCUAGUAAUCGGAUAUCAGCCAUGAUCCGGUGAAUACGUUCCCGGGCCUUGUACACACCGCCCGUCAAGCCAUGGAAGCUGGGGGUACCUAAAGUCGGUGACCGAAAGGAGCCGCCUAGGGUAAAACUAGUAACUGGGGCUAAGUCGUAACAGGGUA